rnacentral:rRNA from 1 species
UACGAAGGGGGCUAGCGUUGCUCGGAAUUACUGGGCGUAAAGGGCGCGUAGGCGGAUAGUUUAGUCAGAGGUGAAAGCCCAGGGCUCAACCUUGGAAUUGCCUUUGAUACUGGCUAUCUUGAGUUCGGGAGAGGUGAGUGGAAUGCCGAGUGUAGAGGUGAAAUUCGUAGAUAUCUGGAAGAACACCAAAGGCGAAGGCAGUGUCCUGGGUGGUCGCUGACGCUGAGAGGCGAAAGCCAGGGGAGCGAACGGG